AGAAAAAGUGACCCUGCCAUCACAAGCUCCAAGACAUUCUUAGAUGGCUUGAUGCUCAUAAUUCCAACAGAAUAAGCGAACAACAGUCCUGCUUGGCAUGCCCCACUAUCUUCGUCAAGAUACUUCCAGCAUUCUAAAGACCUGUGAGCCAACUGGUCCAUUUGAAGAUGUCAGUGUGGGGAUCCUGAUCGUGUAUGAGGACUGCAGCAAAUGUGUGGUUCUACAAAAUCAAUGGCAUAUGUCUUGUUUUGGAGGAACAGUUUAUCGUCAUGGACAUUUCCAAUAUUCCAAAGGCCUUUGGACUGAUGGGUCUCAAUAUGGACAACCCGAAGCAUCUAAAAUUCACGUUUGAAGUACUACAAAAGCUGUUCUUGAACAUUGGAGGGAGCUCCUCUUCACAUGAACAUUGCAGCGGCUUUCUCCAAAACAGGCUGCUUGGUAAAGAGUAGUACAACAACCUUCCGUAGAACUUGAACUUGGUCCUCAUUUUUGAUUUGUUUUUAUGUCUGUUUUCAGAUUAUUUUUUCUAAUGUAGCAUAAUGGGUUUCCCCCCCAAAUUUGAUGUGCUGUACAUCCACCUGUGUAUUUUUAGUUCGAUUUUGUUUUUUUCUUCGAUAUUAUGAUGUGCAUCCUCUCUUUGAAAAAAAUAAGUAAAAGUUUU